rnacentral:tRNA from 1 species
ACCUGGGUGGCUCAGUCGGUUGAGUGCCCGACUUCAGCUCAGGUCAUGAUCUCACAGUUUGUGGGUUCAAGCCCCGCAUCAGGCU